rnacentral:lncRNA from 1 species
UUGUUGCAAGGAGGUCGAAGCGCCAUGAGUCGUAGUGGGAGUCACUGGGCUUGCUUGUCCUGACUGAGAACACUUCAAGCACGAGAAGGUAAGAUGGUAAGAUUCAUGAUCUUUAAGCAUGACUAGUCAACAACCUGUGCGACUGCACGGGCUAGUAAUUUUUCCUAAAAGAGUAUAAAUCAUUGGCAGCUCUUUGUAUUGUUUCAUUUUUUAUGUGAGAAAUAGAGAAUUGUGUUAUGAAACUUGAUUGUAGCGCACUUAAUAUUGUAGCACACUUAAUACAAUCUAUGCUGAACCUCAUGAGACUCUUGGGCCCGAUUACAUCCCAAUUAAUCCUGUUGCCUCACAACCCAGUUCUCAGAAAGCUCCUAGUCCUAUGUUUAUCCCCAAUAACUACAGCAUGAGCUACGAUGACAUACCAUCCACUAGCAAUUCCCAGCCUCUGCAGACUAGCAACAUUGCUGUUGAGGGUGCUACUGAGCACAUUAAUGUUCUUCAGGAACUUAUUGGCAACUUGGUGACAAAUGCUCAGGACAUCAUUCCCAAACUGGGUGGCAGUCAGAUUGUCAAUGCUUCCUGCAAUGUGGUCGAUGUUGUGGGCACCAAUGGUAACAAUAAAAGAUGUUAUCUGCAGAUCCAAACCAUCCAGAAGGAACCACCUAUGAAUACUAGCUCUGUCAGCAUUGAGGAGAUCACAGGUCAGGAGUUUGCUGAAGUUCAGAAACCCUCUAACAGGCAGAAAAAGAAGAAGAUCAUAGAUGACACCUUCUGCAGGAGGAGCAACAGGAUUGCCAAGCUCACCAGGGGAUUCAAGGACCAGGCUGCUGCAGAUAAUGUCAUCAAUAAUGAAGCUAAGAUUGAGCAUAAUAACAAACAGGGCCCUAAGAAAAUGAAGAAAGAUAUAUCUAUUAACCUGGGACCUCAAUUUGAUGAUGUGAUUAUUAAUGAGCAGGCACCUCCACCACCUGAAUUUCCUAUGAAGACCCUGCAGGCUAUUGGCACAGGUCCAUGUAAGAUGGCACCACAGGAUGUGUCCCCUAGCGCUUUGCACUAUGACAGCUCUGAUGAUUAGGUCUCACUCCUAUGAUGUGGGCUUUGAUGGCUCCCCUAACUGCCAUCAUGCUUUGAUUCCAGUUCCUUUUGCUUCCUCUACCAUGUCAUUUGGAUGCCUGCGUGCCUCAACUAUCAGUAUGAUGUGUAAUAAGUAUACUUUGUGCUACAGCUUCUACUGGAGUUUGCCUGCCAGCUGCUUAUGUUGUCUUAAAUGCUUAUGUAGUACGAUUAUAUACUGCAUGUAUCUAUUCCAACGAGCAUUAGUCAGUGACUAUUCACUUACCGCAGAUAUUGGCUGCUAUAGCAAGACCCAUAGAGCAUGUAGGAGCACAUAUUAUGUUAUUCAUAAUAUGUCACAAUACUACUUCAGAUACUACUGCCAUGAAUAGAAGUUGGAAUAUCCUAAAUUGGAAUGUUAGAGGUAUAAACUCCACAACUAGGUGGAAUGACAUUAGAAAGAAAAUUGAUGAAAGUGUUUGUUGUAUUAUGACUUUUCAAGAAACCAAGAGGGAUAAUUUUGAUAUUGCUUAUAUCAAGAAUUUUUGCCCAAAGAGGUUCAACCAGUUCUGUUUUUCACCUUCAAAUGGCAACUCUGGAGGUCUAAUUACUAUUUGGAAUGGCAAUUUAAUGAAGGGCAAAGUGUUAUCCCAAAAUUAUUAUGAAAUCACCAUUGAGUUUACUUCUAAUCUGGAUAGUACCUGCUGGUAUCUCACUGAUGUUUAUGGACCUAACAGCACUGAAGGUAAACAGGAAUUUACUGAUUGGCUUAUGGGUCUGAAUAUGAGCCAGUCCAAGUUAUGGAUGAUCCUGGGUGAUUUUAAUUACAUAAGAAGCCCUGAUAAUAGAAACAAACCUGGUGGUGAUCCUGCUAGUAUGAUGACUUUUAAUAAUAUCAUUGUCAACCUGGAUCUGGCAGAAAUCCCUCUCAAAGGAAGAGCUUUCACAUGGACCAAUAAACAAGAUCAACCUUUAUUGGAAAAGUUAGAUUGGAUUUUUACCAGUCCCCACUGGACUACUAUCCAUCCAUCUACUAUGGCUACUCCAUUAGCUAAAAUUUCAUCUGACCAUGUGCCUAUCAAAAUCCAGAUUGACAGCAAUAUUCCCAGAAGCCAGAUAUUCAGAUUUGAAGAGUAUUGGACUGAAUUCAGUGGGUUUAUUGAAACUGUGGAGAAGCAUUGGUUAAAUUCCACUCACUUCUCUGAUUCUGCUAAGAAUUUAAAUUCCAAGUUUAAAUCUAUCAGAAGAGGCUUGAAAUCUUGGAGCAAGCAAUACUCCCAAUUGAACAAAACCAUUGAUAACUGUUGUUUCUAUGUGAAACUAUUUGAUGGCAUUGAGGAACAAAGACCACUAGCUAGGGUGGAAAAGAAUUUCAGGAAAUUGCUCAUCAAGCAUACUAACAAGUUGCUGGAGGCUAAGAGAAUUUACUGGAGAAUUAGGGCAAACAUCAGAUGGGCAAAUUUGGGUGAUGAAAAUACCAAAUUCUUCCAUGCAAUUGCUACCUAUGUAUUUAGGCACAACUACAUCACAUAUCUUAUGACUACGGAUGGACAGCAAGUAUUUGAUCAUGAUCAUAAAGCUGCUAUACUUUGGGCAUCUUUCAAAGAUAGGAUUGGUACUGAGACAAUCUGCACACAAAACUUUGACAUAUCACAUCUUGCUAUGGAGGAGGAUCUUUAUGAUCUUGACAGGCCCUUCAGUACUGAUGAGAUUGAUGAUAUGAUCAAUAAAAUGCCCAAUGACAAAUCUCCUGGACCUGAUGGUUUUAAUGGACUGUUUAUGAAGAAAUGCUGGCACAUAAUCAAGCAUUAUUUCUACAAAUUCAUCAAUGAUUUCUACAAUGAAGCUGUUUCCCUGGCUCCUGUUAACACUGCCUACAUUACUAUGAUACCCAAAAAUGACAAUCCUGAAAUUCCUGAUGAUUAUAGGCCCAUCUCACUUGUAAGUAUGCCUAUCAAAAUCCUUACUAAAAUCCUUGCUAAUAGAGUGCAGCAGAUUAUUAUAUCUAGAAUUAGCAAGAAUCAAUAUGGGUUUAUAAAGACAAGGAAUAUUCAGGAUUGCCUUGCAUGGAGUUUUGAAUACAUACAUAUGUGCCACAAAUCCAAGAAAGAGAUCAUUAUUUUUAAGAUUGACUUUGUUAAGGCUUUUGAUAAAGUGAGCUACAAGGCUAUCUUAUAGAUGAUGCAGCACCUAGGAUUUACCAAGAAAUGGAUUAGAUGGGUCUCAUCUAUCCUAUCUACUGCUUCCACAUCUGUCAUCCUUAAUAGUGUUCCAGGUAAAUGCAUUCAAUGUAAGUGUGGUGUCAGACAAGGAGAUCCAUUUUCCCCUCUCCUAUAUGUUAUGGUUGGAGAAUUAUUACAAUCAUGGUUAAUGAUGCAUGGAGAAAUGGAACACUAUCUCUGCCCAUUGAGACUAACUUUACUGAAAGUUAUCCUAUCAUACAAUAUGCUGAUGACACCUGGUUAUCUUGCCUGCUGAUGAAUUUCAAAUUAGAAGCUUCAUUGAGAUACUUGACAACUUCUCAAAAUUCACUGGACUUGUUGUAAAUUAUAGUAAAUCAUCCAUGGUACCAAUCAACAUGUCUGAUGAUAAAGCUCAAGAGCUGGCAAAUUCCUUCAAUUGCAAAAAAGAAUCUAUGCAUUUCACAUAUCUUGGUCUACCAAUGGGAUCUACAAGACCUAAAGUGGCAGACUUGAUGCCCAUGGUAUCAAGACUUGAUCAUAGACUUUCCGGCAUUGCCUCAUUAAUGUCAUAUUCUGGAAGACUUGUACAUCUCAAAUCCAUAGUUGCUGCUCUGCCAAUUUUUGCUAUGUGUUGCAUCAGAGUACCUCUCACCAUACUGGAUCACUUUGAAAAAUCUGGCAGGAACUUCCUUUGGUAUGGUAAGGAUAUCAAUAAAAAAGGAAAUUGCCUUAUUAAAUGGGAUAAUGUUUGCUUGCCAAAAAAGGCUGAGGGAUUGGGUGUGUUAGAUCUGAGAACACAAAACAAAACUCUGCUUAUAAAAUUUCUUUACAAAUUCUUCAAUAAGCAGGAUAUCCCCUGGGUUAACCUUAUAUGGAACAAUUACUAUGAUAAUGAUGAGAUACCUUGUUUCCCUACAAUGAGGGGAUCCUUUUGGUGGAGAGACUGUUGCUCGAAUUUGCAAGAAUUUAAAAACAUGACUAUAUGUUAUGCUGGGAGAGGUGAUACAAUUAAGCUAUGGUCAGAUAAGUGGUGUUCUUAUACAAUAUCACACUCAAUGCCUCAGCUAUUUUCCUAUGCAAAGAAUGCUGACAUAACUCUUGCAACUGUCAGCAACAUGGAUGUUAGUGAAUUUUAUGAUUUGUUCCACCUACCCAUGUCCUCUAUUGCUGUACAACAGAGUAUCAACCUUAUAGAAAUGAUUAACAACAGAGAGAAUCAGCACCUGCCAGAUUCUUGGAAAUUUUAUUGGGGUGCCACAAGGUAUUCUAACAAGAGAAUAUACCUUGAACUUAUGGGAAACCCUGUUGAUGCACCUAAAUCCUAUCAAUGGAUAUGGAAAUCAUGCUCUCUACCAAAGCAGAAAUUCUUCUUCUGGCUCUUGUUACAAGACAGAUUAAACACUAGAGAUCUACUAAAAAGGAAGAAUUUCUACAUUGAGACUAGUAAGUGUGAAUUAUGUGAUGAUGAACCUAAUGAACAUUUAAUGCAUCUGUUUUUUAGCUGUGAUUUCAGUCAAAACUUCUGGAUGAACAUUGGCUACCAAUGGAACACUGAUCAUAACCUCAUAGAAAUGCUCCUGGAGGGAAGGAAGCAAGAUACACAUGAAUGCUUUAAAGAAUGUCUGAUUGCUGGAUGCUGGAGUUUAUGGAAACACAGAAAUAGCAUAAUUUUUUACAACAAGGUCAAAAAUAUGACACUCUGUAUUGCCACUUUCAAGGAGCACAUUUGCAUGAUUAUAAAGAAGGCAAAACCAGAAUUGAAAGAGGGCAUGCAAAGCUGGCUAGAUCAUUUGUAGACUCAUCAAUGUCAUGAAUCAUAUCCAUCAUGUAAAUCCAUAUGUAACUGUCCCCCUAUUUUAAUGAAAAAGAGAAUCACAGUGGGGAUUUCCCCCACUGUUUUUGUCAAAAAAAAAAUUAGUUGGACAUUAGAUAGUGGAUUAAUAUUUCCAUGGUCUGAGAUUCAUAGUUAUCUUGUGCCUGUCUUGUGAUUGUAUUACAAAUGCUUAUGUUUAACCAAAUAGCUCAAAAUGGGUUCAAAUGAUAGACACAUAUGCAAAUAAUGCAUAUCUCUGCUUAUCCUUCUAUGAGGAAGUCCUACCACCAGAUGUGAGCCAAACAUUAUUAUAUUUAUGGCUUAGCUUAAAUCCAUAAUUAUUUAGGUGAGAUCCUCUGCAUCAUAUAUUUCCUAACAGGAAUAUAAGGGUUAAAAAUGCCGGCCAUUUAUAUAAAUGUAAAAUUUACAACAUAGUUAAUAUACUGAGAGACUUAUAUGUAUCAAAUACUAACUUUCUUUUUGUAAUAGCACUUGGUUGCACAUUAUCCCGGGAAAAGACCCUUGGAAUGGGCAUUAAAUUCAUUUUCCUAAAUGGGCAUUGGCAGUUCAAUUCUAAAGUAUUACAUGUAAGCAUCAGUAAUCCUCUCUUAGCUUAGUCCGCUUCAAGAAAUCAUAUGAUCCCAUGUCUCCCAUAUUAUGUUGAUCACCACAUACAUCCUAGAUUUAAAGAGAGUAAAUUAGUUUGAAAAAGUCAUCAUAAUAAUUAAAAUGUGGUCGAGCACAUGCACAUGCAUGUAUAAAUAAAAUAGACUGUGCGCAUGAAGUGCAUACCUGCACCCUAGACAUGGGAUACAGCGGGGGAGUGGAUGAGAAGCACACACAGCCACUGUAUGUCCUCGUUGUCGGUAUUCUGCUUGAUUAUCCUCUUCAUCGCUUGUUAAUGUAAAGAAAAACAGUUAGUCAAUAAAGAAUCAUAUACAUUAUUCAAGAAACCAAGCGAUGGUAUAACAAAUAAAUUAGAAGUGAACAAACGGCAAGAUUUAAUUUAUUUUGCAAUUUGUAGGGUUCCCCAACUCGAAGAGAGCUGUUGUUGAAUAUCAUAUGAAAGAAUAACGGAUUUGCAUUAUAUGGAUUUGAGCCACAUAUUACACUAUUUAUAAAAUUGAAUUCAGGUAGCUAGUAAAAUGAUUGUCUUGAUGAUCGUUAACAGAGACCCAUAAAAAUUAAUAUUUUAUUUUCACUCAAUGACCAUAGUUUCUAACGGGAAUAUUGGGGGCACAAAAUGCAAGACAUCAUAUAGAAGUGCAUCCAUAUGAUGAUCAAAUACUGAGAAUCAUUUUCUCGCAAUAGAAGCACAUGGUUACACACAUCCCUCGGAAUCUCACUUAACUGAAAUGGGAGUUUAUUUCUUGUAAUAGUAACAUUUUCUUACACAUAUCCCCUCAAAUAUCCCUUAAGUGGAAUGGACGUUAGUUGACAAUAGUAUAUAGGAAGGCUCCCGAACACAAAAAAAUAGACAUAUGUUGUUCAAGUGCUGCAUACAAAAUGAUUGUGGCAAUAAAUUUGAGCACAUAAAUAUAUAUGAAUAGAAGCAUUGUAGUAAAUGUUCUGUUGGAACGAUACCAUUGAUGCAACAAAUAAAAAAACCUGAAAUUCAGCAAGGUGCUUGCGUGGGACAUCACGCAUUAGUAAUCUUUUCUUACCUUAGCCCCCUGAAACUAAUCAUAUGAUCCAUGCUGUCCAAAAUUAUAUGAGCUCAUUAUCCAUGAAUGAAGCGAAAAGGUGUAAAGUAGUGAUAAGAAAUCAUCCUAAUAAUCAAACCUCUAGCCCAGUAUGCACCCUGUAUAAAAUAGAAAUCUAUGAAGUCAUUACCUGCACCUGCAGACACGGUUUGCAGCCAAGGCGUGGAUGAGAAGCUCAUCCAGCAACUACACAUCAUCGCCGGUCGCUCUCGACUUGAUUAUCUUCUUCAUUUUCUACGCUUCAUUACGUAAUCCAUAACGACAUGCUCAGUGAGCGUGUUUUUUGCUACAGAACGUUUCCUAGUAUGUAAAAAAGAAGAAUUGCAUCAAAAUAGGGACACACUUUCAGUAUAAAUCUGAAGCAUACAACAUGAUUCUUUCGCGUCUUGCUUUGAAUAAAUAUUGUUCAGGUGCCUCCUUGUUG